rnacentral:lncRNA from 1 species
CCCGUCAGCAGUGCACAGUACCUGCACACACACACUAUUAUAGGGGUGAGCUUUCAUCCUCGCUGCUCAGUAGGAGCUUUUCUCGACUAGAUUUGAAAAUCAAUAUUCAUGGGUACCCAGCAUAAAAACAAUUUAAAACCAAAUGCUUAAUGUAAACGACAUGAGUUAAAAAUCAAUGCACAUGUUUCAAUAAAAUUGGCGCCAAGUCCAAACAUCACCUGAUGGCCGGUCCUCAUCGACCCACUAUCCAACUUACCUCAUUUUUCUUGUGUACAACAGGUAAGUGUAGUGAGAGUGUCCAAUUACGCCCUAUCGCCUAGAAGUAGUGUCACUCCACAAGGGAUGUAAGACACUCUUCCGUCCAUAAAGGCCCCUCCGAAGGUUUAGGGGAUCGAAACCCAAGGAAGUCGCUAUGCCCCCCUCACUCUCAAGCCAUCAAUAAAUCUCACAGUUUGGUCAAUAACAAUCAUAAUAUAUAACCAAACCAAACAUGCAUCAUUUAUAUAAAACAUGGGAAAAGCUUUAAUCAAGAAAAAUCCUGAAUCCCCUACCUGGAUUUCAACGCUUUUCCUUCCGUGCUCCACGAGUCACAAACCUUUCAUUCCUUGGUCACUGGAAUCCCUUUAAUGUAGCUCAAUAUUGAAGCAAAAGCUUUGCGCCCUUCUCUGCCCAAACUUGCUGACGAAGAACUUGUAGCUCCUUACCCAAAAACCCAGCAACUCCCUUUAAAAUCCUUGUUUCAGACACAGCUGAGACCGAAACCAAACCUAGAAAUAAAGGAGGUCACCGACGGGGACGAAUUUCGUCAAGGGCAAAGAAACAGCCCAGAAAUCCCAAAAACUAAAGUCAAUAAACUUCAAUCUAAACUGAAAAAUAAUUACCCUAGAAUGAUGAGGACGACGAGAGAAAGGAAACCAUACCAAGAGAAGUCGGGUUCGCAGCCUGAAAACCCAGAAUUCGGCAGAAAACUCGAACCUUCUUGUCGUCGUUCCUCCUCCUACGGUCACCGAUCGGAAAAAUGAAGGCUAGAGG